rnacentral:rRNA from 1 species
AGCGGGGGAUCUUCGGACCUCUCGCUAUCAGAUGAGCCCAUGUCAGAUUAGCUAGUUGGUGAGGUAAAGGCUCACCAAGGCGACGAUCUGUAACUGGUCUGAGAGGAUGAUCAGUCACACUGGAACUGAGACACGGUCCAGACUCCUACGGGAGGCAGCAGUGGGGAAUAUUGGACAAUGGGGGCAACCCUGAUCCAGCCAUGCCGCGUGUGUGAAGAAGGCCUUCGGGUUGUAAAGCACUUUCAGUGGGGAGGAAGGCCUGUUGGUUAAUACCCAUCGGGAUUGACGUUACCCACAGAAGAAGCACCGGCAAACUCCGUGCCAGCAGCCGCGGUAAUACGGAGGGUGCGAGCGUUAAUCGGAAUUACUGGGCGUAAAGCGCGCGUAGGCGGUUUGGUAAGUGUGACGUGAAAGCCCCGGGCUCAACCUGGGAAUUGCCUCACAUACUGCCAGGCUAGAGUACGGUAGAGGGGGGUAGAAUUCCACGUGUAGCGGUGAAAUGCGUAGAGAUGUGGAGGAAUACCAGUGGCGAAGGCGGCCCCCUGGAUCGAUACUGACGCUGAGGUGCGAAAGCGUGGGGAGCANACAGGAUUAGAUACCCUGGUAGUCCACGCGGUAAACGAUGUCAACUAGCCGUUGGGGACGUAAUGUCUUUAGUGGCGCAGCUAACGCACUAAGUUGACCGCC